UACGAAGGGGGCUAGCGUUGUUCGGAAUUACUGGGCGUAAAGGGCGCGUAGGCGGUGUGUCAAGUCAGGCGUGAAAGCCCCGGGCUCAACCUGGGAACCGCGCUUGAGACUGGCACGCUAGAGUUCGGGAGAGGAUGGUGGAAUUCCCAGUGUAGAGGUGAAAUUCGUAGAUAUUGGGAAGAACACCGAUGGCGAAGGCAGCCAGCUGGACCGACACUGACGCUGAGGCGCGAAAGCGUGGGGAGCAAACAGG
rnacentral:rRNA from 1 species